AUGAACGCUGGCGGCGUGCUUAACACAUGCAAGUCGAACGAACCUUCGGGUUAGUGGCGGACGGGUGAGUAACGCGUGAGAAUCUGCCCUCAGGAGGGGGAUAACGGCUGGAAACGGCCGCUAAUACCCCAUAUGCCGAGAGGUGAAAUGAAUUUCGCCUGAGGAUGAGCUCGCGUCUGAUUAGCUUGUUGGUGGGGUAAUGGCCUACCAAGGCGACGAUCAGUAGCUGGUCUGAGAGGAUGAUCAGCCACACUGAGACUGAGACACGGCCCAGACUCCUACGGGAGGCAGCAGUGGGGAAUUUUCCGCAAUGGGCGAAAGCCUGACGGAGCAACGCCGCGUGAGGGAUGAAGGCCUCUGGGCUGUAAACCUCUUUUAUCAAGGAAGAAGAUCUGACGGUACUUGAUGAAUAAGCCACGGCUAAUUCCGUGCCAGCAGCCGCGGUAAUACGGGAGUGGCAAGCGUUAUCCGGAAUUAUUGGGCGUAAAGCGUCCGCAGGCGGCCUGACAAGUCUGCUGUUAAAGCGUGGAGCUUAACUCCAUUUCAGCAGUGGAAACUGUCAGGCUUGAGUGUGGUAGGGGCAGAGGGAAUUCCCGGUGUAGCGGUGAAAUGCGUAGAUAUCGGGAAGAACACCAGUGGCGAAAGCGCUCUGCUGGGCCAUCACUGACGCUCAUGGACGAAAGCCAGGGGAGCGAAAGGGAUUAGAUACCCCUGUAGUCCUGGCCGUAAACGAUGAACACUAGGUGUCGGGGGAAUCGACCCCUCCGGUGUCGUAGCCAACGCGUUAAGUGUUCCGCCUGGGGAGUACGCACGCAAGUGUGAAACUCAAAGGAAUUGACGGGGGCCCGCACAAGCGGUGGAGUAUGUGGUUUAAUUCGAUGCAACGCGAAGAACCUUACCAGGGCUUGACAUCCUGCGAACCUCUGGGAAACCGGAGGGUGCCUUCGGGAACGCAGUGACAGGUGGUGCAUGGCUGUCGUCAGCUCGUGUCGUGAGAUGUUGGGUUAAGUCCCGCAACGAGCGCAACCCACGUCUUUAGUUGCCAGCAUUUAGUUGGGCACUCUAGAGAGACCGCCGGUGACAAACCGGAGGAAGGUGUGGAUGACGUCAAGUCAUCAUGCCCCUUACGUCCUGGGCUACACACGUACUACAAUGCUACGGACAAAGAGCAGCUAACUCGCGAGAGUACGCAAAUCUCAUAAACCGUGGCUCAGUUCAGAUCGUAGGCUGCAACUCGCCUACGUGAAGGAGGAAUCGCUAGUAAUCGCAGGUCAGCAUACUGCGGUGAAUACGUUCCCGGGCCUUGUACACACCGCCCGUCACACCAUGGAAGUUGGCCACGCCCGAAGUCGUUACUCCAACCCUCUGGGAGGAGGACGCCGAAGGUGGGGCUGAUGACUGGGGUGA
rnacentral:rRNA from 1 species